CGCCUCCUGAUUACCCAUAUGAGGUCCAGCCUGCCCAGUGACAUGAUUAAACGGCCGCGGUACUCUGACCGUGCGAAGGUAGCAUAAUCACUUGUUCUCUAAAUAAGGACUAGAAUGAACGACAUCACGAGGGCCUUACUGUCUCCUUUUUCCAAUCAGUGAAACUGAUCUCCCCGUGAAGAAGCGGGGAUCUUACUAUAAGACGAGAAGACCCCAUGGAGCUUUAAACCCAACAGGCAAUCCUAACCCCCUUUCCCCCCCAAAGUUUUUAAAUAGUGUCUGCUGGUUUUAGGCUGGGGUGACCGCGGAGUAAAAAUUAUCCUCCAUGACGUAUGGGACUUCCCCCCAAUCCACGAGCUACUGCUCUAAGAAUCAUCAAAUUGACGACAAAUGAUCCAAUCUAUUGAUCAACGAACCAAGUUACCCUGGGGAUAACAGCGCAAUCCAUUUCAAGAGCUCCUAUCGACAAAUGGGUUUACGACCUCGAUGUUGGAUCAGGGUACCCAAGUGGUGCAGCCGCUACUAAUGGUUUGUUUGUUCAACAAUUAAAACCCU
rnacentral:rRNA from 1 species